UUUAGGCUUUAAGUAUACGUCAAUGAAUUAUAUCCAAACGCAACCAGCUUGAUUUAGUUUACAACAGUGAAUAUAAAGCUAAACAACACAAAGAUUACCUGGUUUUUAGAUUUGCCCAUAUAUAUUAAAUAUUUUUUA